rnacentral:tRNA from 1 species
GGAUCUAUAGUCUAAUUUGGCAAGACGUCGCCCCCAAAGGCGAAAAUCCCGGUUCGAUUCCGGGUAGAUAAA